rnacentral:rRNA from 1 species
GCUGAAACUUAAGCAUAUCAAUAAGCGGAGGAAAAGAAACCAACAGGGAUUGCCUCAGUAACGGCGAGUGAAGCGGCAACAGCUCAAAUUUGAAAUCUGGGCCUUUCAGGUCCCGAGUUGUAAUUUGUAGAAGAUGCUUCGGGCGUGGCUCCGGUCUAAGUCCCUUGGAACAGGGCGUCAUAGAGGGUGAGAAUCCCGUAUGUGACUGGCUGCCUCCGUCCAUGUGAAGCUCUUUCGACGAGUCGAGUUGUUUGGGAAUGCAGCUCAAAAUGGGUGGUAAAUUUCAUCUAAAGCUAAAUAUUGGCCAGAGACCGAUAGCGCACAAGUAGAGUGAUCGAAAGAUGAAAAGCACUUUGGAAAGAGAGUUAAACAGUACGUGAAAUUGUUGAAAGGGAAGCGCUUGCAAUCAGACUUGCGCGCCGUUGAUCAUCCUCGGUUUUCCGGGGUGCACUCGGCGGCGCUCAGGCCAGCAUCGGUUUCGGUGGUUGGAUAAAGGCUGUGGGAAUGUGGCUCUCUUCGGGGAGUGUUAUAGCCCACGGUGCAAUGCAGCCUACCGGGACCGAGGACCGCGCUUCGGCUAGGAUGCUGGCGUAAUGGUUGUAAGCGACCCGUCUUGAAACACGGACCAAGGAGUCUAACACUUAUGCGAGUGUUUGGGUGUUAAACCCAUACGCGUAAUGAAAGUGAACGGAGGUGAGAACCCUUUAGGGGGCAUCAUCGACCGGUCCUGAAGUUUACGGACGGAUCUGAGUAAGAGCAUAAUUGUUGGGACCCGAAAGAUGGUGAACUAUGCCUGAAUAGGGUGAAGCCAGAGGAAACUCUGGUGGAGGCUCGCAGCGGUUCUGACGUGCAAAUCGAUCGUCAAAUUUGGGUAUAGGGGCGAAAGACUAAUCGAACCAUCUAGUAGCUGGUUCCUGCCGAAGUUCCCCUCAGGA